ACCUCAAACCUGGAGUAGGUAAGAUCUUUCAGAAACAGAGACUGGGAAAGGACCAAGGAUUGGAAGUGCUUACCCUCAAGGGCUGUCCAGAGGAAGGAAAGUAAGGAUUAAUCAGAUCAGUUAAAGAACAAACGUUCAAAAAGAAAACUCGUUUCAUUAGAAAAUGAAGGUAAUGACACCUCCCUCUGGGGAAGCUGCUUUAGAAGUACCUAAAGCUUUGGGGGACGAGUAAGGAGGGAAUGAGAACUUAUAAAGAGGAAGAAAGAAAAUGAUCUUCCUGGGCAGUUGAAAACUGCCUCUCCCACUUCACAAGACAGCCCGUCUUCUCGUCCUCUUGCCUUUAAAUUGUCACACUUCCCUAACUUAUUAAUACACAUCUGCUCAAAUUGUGGUUUCCGUCUCAACUGACCCAUUUGGCAGGAGUGACAGGCUGCAAAUCGUGAUCUGAGCCAACAUCAUCUGAUUUUUUACCGUUGCUAUCUCGAGCAUACACCUGUCACAGAGAACGCCAGGUGUUAAGCAACAGAUGUUCCUGGGAUUCACAAAGAAAAACAGAUUGAUGAAUUGCUGAAGGAAGAAAAAAGUGAAUUCGUUUCAUUAAGAACUUGGCAAAAGGAGCAACUGGAGAACCAGAGCACAGCAUCAGCUUUACCAGCAGUAAAGCCGGAUAGGGUAACACUGUGACGUCCAAGCAGAGGAUCAGUUUUCCGAUAGGGCCAGAAAACACAGGGCGCUUUGUUAACCUGUGCGGAAGUUCAGCCCGGACCUCCUAGUUCUCUGCUCAGUAUCUAUACCUGGGGAUCCACUGGACCAUGACUUAUUACCCACCUGCAAGUGGAGAAGCAAGAACAAGUCACUUAGCUGGACCCAUCAGUGACAAGCUAACCUCUUGGAGACUUGAGAUAGGCACGUGCAGCUCCUAGGAGCACUUGGGUCUAAGAAACCAGGAGAGAAAGAACAGUGACCUAUCAACACUUAACUUUGCCCAGUAAGGAAAUGUGGCAAGUAGGUGGGGCACUUUCCCUAGUCUCACCAAUCAGAAGACCAUCUUCCUCCAAGAGAAGAACUGAGGAAGGUGGGAAGGGCAGGGCUAUAGAACAUUUCCCACCAGGGUCAUUGACCAUUCUGGAAGCAUGUAGAGAAACUGUUAUUUUUCAUUAUUUCUCCAGUGGAAAUAAUACACCAAAAUACUUUUUCCUUUCAUAUCAAGCACUGGUUAUUGAUGACCCAGAAAUCCCAGGAUGGAAAAGAGUUUAUUGAGGUCAAGUUUAAUUAUUCAUGUUCACCAUUUUGGUGAUUAUUAACCCUCUUUUCAACUGGCAGCAAAGGAUUUCUGGAGAUCAGCUAAUUCAGUGUCUCUGAAGAAGCUGGUACAGUUUGUUGUAAAUGUGUUUUGCUUCACAGACAAUAGUGCUGUGAUGGAAUGGUUUGUCCAUGAGUCUGUGAAUAAAUGAAUAAAUCACACACCUGUUAAAUUGUGUGCUGCACAUAAUGAAAGGGUUGUGAUGUGGGGUUUUUUUUUUAAAACAAAAUGUUGCUUCUCUCCAUUUGCUGCUCCUAAACAAUUUCUCAGUGUAAUGUCUUGUGUAUCUCCCCUUUUAGUGAAGCUCAAAGUACUUCAUGGCGUUCAUAUUUAUGAAUUCCAAUUCUAUUUAUUUUCCCCAUCAACUUUCAGAGUGGCAAAUAUAAACACUGCAAUUUGGCAUAUGAGCAAAUUAAAAUAUAUCAACAUUCUGAUCCUGUACUAGGUCAUACUGUAAGUCAAAUAGGGAGAAGUAGAAGUGGUAGCUCCUGAACCGGUGCCAGGGCAUGCCACUCAUCUGGGUGCCCUGUGGAAGGUGUGCAGGACCCUGGAGGGACUCCCCUAAGCCUUGGACCCUCAGGCACCUAUUCAGGAACAUCUACAAUGGAUGAGAUCUCUGCGCCAGGAACAUGGCCAUUUUGUCCACUGACCCAGGCUAAAGGAAGGAGGAAACCAUGAAGAUGCUGUGUUUAAAAACUUGUGCAUGGAUAGCUUCUGAAUCUUCAGUUGUAUCUUGUAGCUUUAAAGCAAUUUCGUCUUCAAGCCUAGGGAAAUGUAUUCCCUAUGAAGGAGGAUAUUACAUCUUUAUCUAAGCUAAGCAGUAAUUGCAACACUCAUUUGGUCCUACUUUGUACAUGUUAUCUCCCAAGAUAGGCAGGGAAAAGAAUAAAGGCUUUGGAGCCAGACAAUCUGGCUUUGAAUUCAUGCUCCACAUUCUAGUUAUUGACCUAGCUACUUAACUUACCUGAUUUGUUUAUUCAUCUUAACAUAGGCAUUUUUUAGAUUCCAAAUGGAAUAGAUUCUAAAAAAUACAACUAGUGAAUAUAACAAUAAAAAGAGGCCGACUCACAGAUACAGAGAACAAACUAGUGGUUACCAGUGGGGAGAGGGAACAGGAGAGGGGCAACACAGGAGUAGGAGAUUAAGAGGUACAAGCUAUUAGGUAUAAAAUAAGCUAUAAGAAUAUAUUGUACAACAUGAGGAAUACAGCCAGUAUCUUAUAACUAUAAAUGCAAUAUAACUUUUAAAAAUUGUGACUCACUAUACUGUACUCC